CUCAUUGCGAUUGCGGGAAUUUUUUUAUAUUUCUUCUACCAUUCAGUGAAACGAGCUCGUUCUAAAAAAUCAGAUUCAUCAGCACAUUCAUCCAUUCAUUUCUAAGCAGCUACAACGAGUUACAGUGUUAUCGCAGUGAUUCAAACGAACGCGUUACAUUUUUUUAUGUUUUCACGAUGUUGCGGUUUCAACGUUCAUCACUCAUUAUUUUAAACAGCGUUUCGUUCAUCGUUCAUCGGACAUAAGAGUUGCAAACUUAUUUCCGACACGUUCAACGAAAUUAGAAAAAUACAUAACCCGCGUGGCAGUUUUGCUGGCGUGGAAACUAUUAGUGCGCAACUGCAUUCCCGUACGCGUCUUUUUCAGAUGAUAGCGGCAUUUCUACCAAAUCUGUGACCUGCUGGCCUACUUUUACCGGUAUAUGUCCAGAUAAGGACUCGUACGCACCUUGGACGGAAUUCAUCAGUGGAAGGAAAGAACUAGAAAAGGAAUAACCUUUUUUUGUAUUCACUUCGGUCAUCGUUGCAUAGGUAAUCCUCGGACGUGCAAGGAAAAUUCUGGCAAGCAGGAGUCGGC